ACAACCAUACAUAAAUCUUCCACUGAAUGUAAUAUCAGAGUUCUGCCAAUGUAUGGCUGCCUGCAAGAGUAUGUUACAUCUUUUUGAUCAAUGCCUAUUUCCACCUAUUUCUUCCUGUUUGCAUAGAAAGGCUUGUUUAUUCAACCCUCAUGGCAUGAGUGCCUCUUUGGUAGAAUGUGCUGGUCUUCUGUUUGCCUAACCCCAGUGUUUGACCCUUUGUAGUCCUUUCCAUAUGCAACAUGCAGGGACACACAUUUUCCUUUCUUUUCCAGAUAGAAAAACUUCACCGCCUAGUUCCAGCACCAAGUUUUGAAGAAUGAUAACAAGACAAAAAUAAGGGAUCAUCUUUUUUUCAUACUAAAUACUGACUUACCUAUGAAGGAUCCUCGGGUGUUUCCAGACAAAGCUUGUAGAAUGGCCUAUGCAGAAUGGCUUCUGUAGGUAUUGGAUCUGUCCACAAAAGUGAAGUAAGCUAAAAAUAGGGAGAAAAGAGAAGUGAAAGAACACAAGAAGAUGACAAAGUGAAGGUACACAGCCAAAUGCUUCUCUGAUCCUGCUCUUUCCUGUAAUGCAGGGAAUUGCCAUGCACACUGAGGCUGUGAGGAGGACACCAGAGAUGUGCAGCAAGUCUGGGAGGAAGAUUUGGGGCACUGAAGAGGGAGACCUUUGCAAACACUGAAAAAGGAUACACACACAUAUAUAAAGGAAACAUAAGCCUGAGUAUUUGACGAAUAAAAUAGGAACCAAGGGCAUUCA